UACGGAGGGUGCAAGCGUUAUCCGGAUUUACUGGGUUUAAAGGGUGUGUAGGCGGACUUUUAAGUCAGCGGUGAAAUCUCCGGGCUCAACCCGGAAACUGCCAUUGAUACUAUUGGUCUUGAAUGUUGUUGAGGUGGGCGGAAUGUGUCAUGUAGCGGUGAAAUGCUUAGAUAUGACACAGAACACCGAUUGCGAAGGCAGCUCACUAAACUGUAACUGACGCUGAGGCACGAAAGCGUGGGGAGCAAACAGG
rnacentral:rRNA from 1 species